AGUUUGAGUAAUUUCAGUGGACUCUGGGCUAAAGGAGUGGAAUUAGCUAGUCCUGUGAGGGCAGUCUCUCAAGGAUCAAGGCCCCAGAUGUCAGGGCAUCAAGAAUAUGGAAAAUCAGAGAACAUGGUCAAUAUACCAGCUCAUCCCUGGAUGAAGCUCCCUGCCCUUCCUCACAGAGGGUUCCUCUGCACAAAAGGAAGUCGCUGAGGAGGGCCCUGAAGGAGUGCAGGCUCCUGGAGGACUUCCUGAGGAAUCACCAUUACGCAGUCAGCAGGAAGUGGUGACCACUUCUGGAGUGGUGGCCAGCAAGUCUCUGACCAACUACCUGGAUUGUCAGGACCCCUCCCCAGGAGUUCACCGUGGUGUUUGAUAAGGACUCCUUGGAUCUCUGGGUGCCCUCUGUCUACUGCAACAGUGAUGCCUGUUAUGAGGAAAUCAAGGUUCGAAGAGGAAAAGGGACUUGGCUAAGAUUACUCAGCUGGUAAAAGCAAAACAUCCACGGAAUCUUCAAUGGGGCUUUUCCCUUUCAUUUUUGUGUAGAAGCUAUGUAGGUAGCACUGGAAGUCAGAGAGAAAACCACCAAUGCUUCGAUCCGUCCAAGUCCUCCACCCACAGAACAUGGGCAAGUCCCUGUCCAUCCAGUAUGGCACAGGCAGCAUGCAGGCUUGCUGGGCUGUGACACUGUCACCGUAAGUGGUGCUGCGCCGGCCAGUGCUCACUGUGCCUUUCCCGCCAGCCACUCUCCUCCCACACAGUCCGGUGGGCUACACCUCCACUGUGCUGAGGAGCCCUUUAGGUGCUGCCUGCCCUGGUGGCUCAGGAGGUCUCCAACAUUGUGGACCCCCACCAGACUGUGGGCCUGAGCACCCAGGAACCUGGCGACAUCUUCACCUACUCCGAGUUUGAUGGGAUCCUGGGGCUGGCCUAUCCCUCUCUUGCCUCUGAGUAGUCAGUGCCCAUGUUUGACAACAUGAUGCAGAGGCACCUGGUGGCCCAAGACCUGUUCUCAGUCUACAUGAGCAGGAAUGACCAGGGGAGCAUGCUCACGCUGGGGGCCAUUGACCUGUCCUACUACACAGGCUCCCUGCACUGGAUACCCAUGACUGCAAGAAUACCAAUAGUUCACUGUGGACAGGUGGGUGAGCAGCCACCCUGUGUGGGCCU
rnacentral:sRNA from 1 species